rnacentral:rRNA from 1 species
GAUGAACGCUGGCGGCGUGGAUAAGGCAUGCAAGUCGAACGACCCUUGUGUUUACAUAAGGGGAGUGGCAAACGGGGUAGUAACAGGUAGGUACAUACACAUGAGUCAGGGAUAACUGCGGGAAACCGUAGCUAAUACCUGAUAGUUCUCUACGGAGUAAAGAUUUAUCGCUCAUGAAAUGGCCUGCUCGGUAUCAGCUAGUUGGUAGUGUAAAAGACUACCAAGGCUAUGACGCCUAGGGGAGGUGAGAGCCUGACCCCCACCAUUGGAACUGAGACACGGUCCAA